rnacentral:rRNA from 1 species
GACGAACGCUGGCGGCGUGCUUAACACAUGCCAGUCGAACGGAAAGGCCCUGCUUUUGUGGGGUGCUCGAGUGGCGAACGAGUGAGUAACACGUGAGUAACCUGCCCUUGACUUUGGGAUAACUUCAGGAAACUGGGGCUAAUACCGGAUAGGAGCUCCUGCUGCAUGGUGGGGGUUGGAAAGUUUCGGCGGUUGGGGAUGGACUCGCGGCUUAUCAGCUUGUUGGUGGGGUAGUGGCUUACCAAGGCUUUGACGGGUAGCCGGCCUGAGAGGGUGACCGGCCACAUUGGGACUGAGAUACGGCCCAGACUCCUACGGGAGGCAGCAGUGGGGAAUAUUGCACAAUGGGCGGAAGCCUGAUGCAGCAACGCCGCGUGCGGGAUGACGGCCUUCGGGUUGUAAACCGCUUUCGCCUGUGACGAAGCGUGAGUGACGGUAAUGGGUAAAGAAGCACCGGCUAACUACGUG